rfam:Gossypium arboreum cultivar AKA8401 contig_127_11, whole genome shotgun sequence.
UGUUAAAAUUUUCAUUCAUUUCUACUGUUAAAAACUGAUGCGGCUGACGAAGUAACCAAACAGUUACACAUGGUAUACCACAUGUACCUUAUGCUAACAUCAAAGACCAAUUUUUAACAAAAAAAUUGGAUGAAAUUGUUAACA